UGAGUGGGCACAGUGUAGCAUUUAUUCAUUAGCCCCCACACUGGCCUGACCAUCUCCCCUGUGGGCUGCAUGACAAGGAGAGAGAACAGGCUGAGAGUCUCACUAUGUUGACCAGGCUGGCCUGGAACUUCUGAGCUCAAGUGAUCCUCCUGCCUUCGCCUCCCAAAGUGCAGAGAUUAUAGGUGUAAACUAUCACGCCUGGCCUGUUUACAUAGUUUAAUAAUGUAAAUCUUCAAUACCGAUCUAAUAAAAAUUGAAAUAUGCCUUUUAGAAUGGCUUUCAAAGAUAACAAAUGCUGGAGAGGAUGUAGAACAACUGGAACCUCUCGGUUAUUGCUGGUGAGACAGCCGCUUUGAAAAAGUUUGAGUUUCUUACAAAAUUAAACUUACACUUACACUUACCAUAUGACCCAAAAAUUCCACUGCUUGCUCUUUACUCAAGUAUAAGGAAAAUCUAUGUACACACAAAACUUGUACGUGAAUAUUUAUUAAUAGUCAUUUUAUGCCCCAAACUAGAAAUAGUCCAAAUGUUCUGGAACAUCCAUACAACGGACCACCACUCAAUAAAAGGAACAAACUACGGAUACACGUGACUAGAUGAAUCUCAAA
rnacentral:lncRNA from 1 species